CCCUAGCCCUGAUUGCAGCGACAUCCUUUUUGGUUGCGGGCGGAGCAAAGCGGAGCCCGCGACCAAAAAGAUAUAGCGGAAAGCAGGAAAAAGC
rnacentral:sRNA from 1 species